ACGGUCGCAAGACUGAAACUCAAAGGAAUUGACGGGGACCCGCACAAGCAGUGGAGUAUGUGGUUUAAUUCGAAGCAACGCGAAGAACCUUACCAGGUCUUGACAUCUGAAUGACCGGUGCAGAGAUGUACCUUUUCUUCGGAACAUUCAAGACAGGUGGUGCAUGGUUGUCGUCAGCUCGUGUCGUGAGAUGUUGGGUUAAGUCCCGCAACGAGCGCAACCCUUAUAUUUAGUUGCCAGCA
rnacentral:rRNA from 1 species